rnacentral:rRNA from 1 species
UACGUAGGGCGCAAGCGUUAUCCGGAAUUAUUGGGCGUAAAGAGCUCGUAGGCGGUUUGUCGCGUCUGCCGUGAAAGUCCGGGGCUCAACUCCGGAUCUGCGGUGGGUACGGGCAGACUAGAGUGCAGUAGGGGAGACUGGAAUUCCUGGUGUAGCGGUGAAAUGCGCAGAUAUCAGGAGGAACACCGAUGGCGAAGGCAGUGGGCUGGGCCGGCACUGACGCUGAGGAGCGAAAGCGUGGGGAGCGAACAGG